UAUACCCCAUAGGUACUACAGGUGUGGUCACUGUGUCACCUGUGCAUCAAUAGAUGGCAGGGAUGAGAAAGGCUAUGUCUAUGCUCAGUGUUCUGACCUGUAUACAUCUGAGUGAUCAAUAGCCUAGUACU